UCUUUUUAGCGAAUUAUUAGCGUUUCAAAGUUUUUGCGCAGUUGAAAAAAGUAGUUUAAGCCAUGAGGAAAUAUGGACCAAGUCUUUAAAUAGUGGUACGUUUCCCAGUUUCGAAAAAUAUGUAAUUUUGUUUUUUCAAUACCACGCUGAAACGAAGCCACUGAGAGGAUAUUAAGUAUAAGGUUUACUUAUGGCACUAAAGCAGCAAUGACGGUCAGAAUAAGUGGAAUACCCGUAAAUGAGCGUAUGGAGUGCCCAAGCGUAAGUGAAAUCAUCGAAGAUGAGGUUGGCGUUGAUGGUCCAGUAACAGACAAUUUACAAGGACCGCUUGUACGUGAACAACAGUUCGACACGAGUGAAGCAAUUAUGGUUACAGAAGCGCUGAAGAAAGAGAAUGAUUUGCUUGUGAAGGAAAACGAGUGGUUGACAACAAAACUGACUCAAGUUAAUACAUAAAUCAGCAACGAAGCUACUGUCCCUUGCGAUGCAGUGACCAAAGCGAUGGCAGAGCAAUGCAAUGGACGGCAAUAUAGCGAGUGGCGGUAGUUUUGUAGCAGACAGUGGCAGCGUAGCGAACUUCGCCAACGCAGUUAAUUAACCCAGCAAGCAACAGCGUUGACAUUGCAAUAAAUUGCGUUAGUGUUGAAAGCGAAUGUGGCGUAGGGGUAAUACCAUUAUAUGUAGUGAAGGAUAUGUUACCGGAGUACGAUGGAAAUGCAAACUUCGACGUUUGGGUCCAACAGCUAAAAAGCAAAGGUGAUGUAUACAAUUUAAGCGAAAAUGCAAUGCGGGCAUUAAAGGCAAACCGUAUCAAAGGCAAAGCCCAAGCGUGGUUGCACUCAAAACCGACGUUUUGGGUUGAAAGCAUAAAUUCGCUUAUCGAGAAAUGAGAAGUGUAUUCGCGCCGCAUCAAAACAAAAUGAUUUUGCGAAACAAAUUUAAGGCGCGUAAGUGGCAAGUUGGAGAAGAUUUUUAAAAUAUAACAACGAUAAAAUUGCAUUAAAUAGGGGUUAAAAAUAGAAAAAGCUGAACUAAUCGACCACAUCAUCGAGGGCAUCCCCGACGAGCAGUUACGUGUACAGGCAUAUAUCUAUUGUUACAACACCAAAACCCAACUAUUGCAAGCUUUUGGACGUAUGGAGCUGGAGGGACGUACCUUGCGCUAAAUAAAAUCGCAGAAAGAAGUACGCUGCUAUAAUUGCAACUCACUGGGCCACAUGGCUGGUGUGUGUAAGAAACCUAAGCGUGAGAUGGGUGCGUGCUACAGUCGCGGAACCAAGGAGCAUCGGGUGGCAGCUUGCCUUGACAGGAAGAAAGUCGUACAUGUUGUCGACGACGAAGAUCCUUAUAACGCCUAUUAGACUCAGGGGCCUGAUCAGUUUUAUCAAAAGACCUUCUUUGCCGAAUAAAAUUAAAUUUGAUGAAUUUUUUUCUGUAUCUUACUUUGGAUUGAAUAAAAGCAAGCUACAAAUGUUUGGUAA